GUUCCGCCCAGACUGUCCCAUAUGUUCAGCCAGGUAAAGAACCAGUUGAUCAGCCUUGUGUGAAGAAGAAAAAGGCAAAAUGGCGGCGGCGCGCUCGCAGGCCUGGGCAAAAAACCUCCUGGUUGGGUUGGCACCCCGAUGGCCCCCCGACCCGCCCAGGGCCUGGGUGCAGGCCAACGCCCGUCGGGCUCAGACCACCGCGGUGUUGGCCUCGGAUUAUGUUUGUGUACCUCAGUCUGUCCGAUUCCUGGAGUACGGAACCAAGAUGGAUCCUCCUCUCCUGACUGGUGGGAGGCCGAGUUCUUAAGUGGCCUCCGUGCAGGAAAGGCGCCGCACAACUGCAGCUGCUUGCUGUCCGGCUGGUCAGCGAAGGAGGAGCCCAACUGAACCUUCAAAGGUGUCUAACUACAAGGGAACAUUGAAUCUACCAGGACCAAGACACAGCCAGAAUCUUCUUCAUGAUGUAUGAAAAGAAGAAGGUUUGGGAAUCUGGCACAAAAAUUCCUCAUUCCACUACUAACGUGUCAUAUGAUCUUGUGAAAAGCAUCUUCACGUUGGUUGCUGAGCAUUAGUUCAUUAAAUAUAUAGGAAUACCCAGUUACUGUUUAGGGAAGAUAUUGACAUAUACAUGAAUAUAUAAUAACACACAUAGUAGUUGCACAGUAACUGGAUUCAACAGGCAGACUGAACACAGUGGGUCAGAUAAUUGGAUGCAGAGACAAAAAGAACCACAACUCAUUUGGAACAUAAUCAGGUUCCUUUCUGUCUCACCCCAGAGGCUAGUUGAUAGGGCUUAAGCAAACCCCACGGUGUUUCUCAUCCAAAAUCAUGGCACCAAAUGAGAGGGCUUAAAAAGAGAGGAUGGGGGUUAAGGGAGUAUGACACGGCGGUGUGGGGGAAGGGGAUGCCCAGACAGGCCCCUGUCCAGGCACCUCUUCUCCCUGAGGGACCACACACACACAGGCAUGGUACAGAAUAGAGUUUAUUCAGAAUAGGGGAUGGGAGUUAGUGGUAGAGAAAGGCAGAAAGAGAGAGAGAGUAGAGAAGUGGAGUGGAGGCCGGCCAUGACCAUGUGGAGAGAGGGGGGAGAAGAGCCCAAGGGGCAGAGAGGUGAGAGUAUGUGGGAUAAGGGAGAGAGAAAAAGAGGGAG